ACCCUGGUAGAUCAAUGCAGAUCAUCCCUCUCCAGUUGCGUGAUUCUAUGUAGGAAAGGUGCAGGGAAGCCGGAGGUUCGAAUCCUCCCUGGGGCA